rnacentral:lncRNA from 1 species
CCGGCAAGGGAGCGGCGGGGAGCGGGGAAAACCAACUCCGACACGUCGGAAGGCUCGAAUUCAGGGCGAAACCUCUCCCCCGAGGCUCCCUCGGUGUGAAGCAGAUGGAUCCUGGAGCCCAUCCCAGGCUGUAACUCUUGUUCAGGAGCCAGACAGGAAAACUGCAGGCAAACCAGACCCACAUCUCCCAACCUGGACAUCUGAUGGAGUCUCCUUCAGAGCACCCAGUCACUCGUGGGAACAAGUCCUCAACCCUACCCCUCCAAGGACAUGAAAGUUAGGUGGUGGCAGGAGAAUUCAGAAUUGGAGAAAGAAUGGACUGAACAGAAGCAUUACAACAUAAAAAAACGCAUUUAAAAAAAUGGGCAUUUUGUGUU